rnacentral:rRNA from 1 species
UACGGGAGGCAGCAGUGGGGAAUAUUGCACAAUGGGCGCAAGCCUGAUGCAGCCAUGCCGCGUGUAUGAAAAAGGCCUUCGGGUUGUAAAGUACUUUCAGUCGUGAGGAAGGUGUUAAGGUUAAUAACCUUAGCAAUUGACGUUAGCGACAGAAGAAGCACCGGCUAACUCCGUGCCAGCAGCCGCGGUAAUACGGAGGGUGCGAGCGUUAAUCGGAAUUACUGGGCGUAAAGGGCACGCAGGCGGUUAAUUAAGUUGGAUGUGAAUCCCCGGGCUUAACCUGGGAAUGGCAUUCAAGACUGGUUAGCUAGAGUCUUGUAGAGGGGGUAGAAUUCCAUGUGUAGCGGUGAAAUGCGUAGAGAUGUGGAGGAAUACCGGUGCGAAGGCGGCCCCUGGACAAAGACUGACGCUCAUGUGCGAAAGCGUGGGGAGCAAACGAGGGAUUAGAUACC